UUACUUCGUGGAUGAGUUUUGUAAGUGUAAUGAAUUACGAAUAGGUUGGAUUAAAAAAACGAGCUUGAAAUUUCUUCUUCAAGUGUUUUGAAUUCAAAAUCGGGAAGCUUUUGAAUUUCUGCUGUGGAACAAUAUUUUUCUUGCCUGGUUGACAAAUUACCAAAGAAGUUGUUCGCGUGUAGCUGUGUUUAUGCACUCAAGUAUUAACUUACUUCGUAGGAAGCAUCCUGGAAUUUAGGGUGUCAGAUUUGAACAGAAAUGAUAUCGAAACUCGGAUCUGUGUUCAUUAAACAUGUCCUCAUUUGUCGAAGAGAACGUCUGAAGAACUUACAACCAACAAUAAUCUGGGCUGAAACACUGAAUAUCAACAUGCAACGAUGUCAGAUCUCUAACUCGCAUUAAUAAACACUUUUCUUAUCAACGUUCAUCGGAUGAUUUGAUUAAGGUUCAAAGGAAUCCAUCGUGACUCCCCAGGAGUAUUGCAUAACUUGCAAUGAAUCAAUAUUGAAGCAAUGAGUGGUAAUCUAAUUCCACUCAAAAAGUGAUCAACAGGAUCUUCUAUGGAUUAUUCUCAAAGAUGGACUUGGACAGUUGGCAUGUAAAAAAACGUGUUAAAUAAA